CCACCCUACAGUUGCAGAAACUGAGGCUCAGAGUGGGAGCCGUGCUUGGCCAGGGGAACCUGGAAGGAGCUGUGGGCUGAUGCUGGAGUCUGCGUGCCAGCUGGGGGGAGACAGGGCUCUGUGCAGCUGUCAUGGGGACUUCUUGGGGGCACAGGAGGACCAGGGACCUACCUGGACAUGUGAGCAUUGGUGUUCCCGGCUGGAACGUCGCCCUCAGGGACCGGGAAGCAUUCAGGAGCCUUUGGCUCUGAGGAUCCGAAACCCCAUCUGGUGGAGGCAAGGAGAGAAAGAGGAAUUGAAUGGCUGAGGUCACCAGGAGGCGGCCAGCGUCAGGACAGCCCCUUCAGGUCUUAAUCCAUCGAUCCUGCCACCUCUUGUCUGCACCUUCCAUAUCUUUCCCCAAUAGAAUCUCUUCCAAUAGCAAGGAAAUGAAUUCAAGUCUCUCUGGAAUGUUGUCUAUGGCACCAGAGCGUGGCCACAGGUCAAAGGCACUCAUUUGCAAUAUUCAAGUCUCUGGGGACACGGGAGCCUUCCAAUCCUUCACCCUCCUUCAGCCAGGCCCACCGAGGACACUCCGCUGAUCAAGCCAGCCUGGGGUCCUGUCACCUCUCUUUAAGGCUGGGGGAAUCUGGGUCCAGGAGUUCCUGACUUUCUGGUCUUUGGGUCCUGCCCAGCCCUGAGCCCUCCACGCCCCCAGGACAAGACACCAACUCAGAUCCCACUAAGCCUGAGUGGUCACAGGGUCCUCAGGAGGUCUGGGGCAGCCACUUCCUCUGGCCCAUCCCUCCGUGGCCUCCUGGCCCUGCUAUCCCUGCCCUCCACCCCUUGUGGCCACCCCCCUGGGGCACAGGCGGUUUGUCGGACUGUGUUUGGGGUUUGGCCGCAUCUCCUUCUGCUGGAGCGUAAUCUCCCAAGAGUAGGGCGACGUCUUCUUGUCUUCUCGUUGUUUUAUACCAUUCGUGCCUGGCCACAAUGAUAACAGCUACUGUGUUUUUUGGGACUUGCACAGUCGUCCCUCGUAUCUGUGGGGGAUUGGUUUCAGGACCCCUGGAGGAUGAAAGAUCAAUGGAUGCUCCAGUCCCCAGGUGGCCCUCUGUACCCGCAGGCUCCGCAUCCUUUGAUUCAACCCAUCUUGGGAAUGAUGGGGAACCCAUUUAUACUUUGGAAAAUGAUUUAAUUCAAUCCUGUAAAAAUCUAUGAACUUG
rnacentral:lncRNA from 1 species